CCUACGGGAGGCAGCAGUGAGGAAUAUUGGUCAAUGGCCGAGAGGCUGAACCAGCCAAGUCGCGUGAGGGAAGACGGCCCUACGGGUUGUAAACCUCUUUUGUCGGGGAGCAAAGCGAGUCACGUGUGACUCAUUGAGAGUACCCGAAGAAAAAGCAACGGCAAAGCCCGUGCCAGCAGCCGCGGUAAUACGGAGGAGGCGAGCGUUAUCCGGAUUUAUUGGGUUAAAAGGGUGCGCAGGCGGAGGUGCAAGUCAGCGGUAAAAUUACGGGGCUCAACCCCGUACUGCCGUUGAAACUGCAGUGCUUGAGUGCGCGAGAAGUAUGCGGAAUGCGUGGUGUAGCGGUGAAAUGCAUAGAUAGCACGCAGAACUCCGAUUGCGAAGGCAGCAUACCGGCGCGCAACUGACGCUCAUGCACGAAAGCGUGGGUAUCGAACAGGAUUAGAUACCCUAGUAGUC
rnacentral:rRNA from 1 species